rnacentral:hammerhead_ribozyme from 1 species
AUGCAGCUGACGAGUACCAAAUAGGACGAAACGCGUGUCCUGGAU